AAAGGAAUAGACGGGGGUCCGCACAACCGGUGGAACAUGUGGUUUAAUUCGACGAUACGCGAAAAACCUUACCUGGACUUGACAUAUAUCUGGUAGGAGUCCGAAAGGGCAACGACCUAUUUCUUCGGAGAUAGGAGGAUAAACAGGUGGUGCAUGGCUGUCGUCAGCUCGUGCCGUGAGGUGUUGGGUUAAGUCCCGAAACGAGCGCAACCCUUGCUCUUAGUUACUCGUCUUUAUAGACAGCACUUUAAGAGGACUGCCGUGGUUAACACGGAGGAAGGUGGGGACGACGUCAAGUCAGCACGCCCCUUAUGUCCAGGGCUACACACGUGUUACAAUGGUUGGUACAGAGAGAAGCGAAGCCGUAAGGUGGAGCAAAUCUCAAAAAGCCAAUCUCAGUUCGGAUUGCAGGCUGCAACUUGCCUACAUGAAGUUGGAAUCGGUAGUAAUCGCGGAUCAGCUAGGCCGCGGUGAAUACGUUCUCGGACCUUGUACACACCGCCCGU
rnacentral:rRNA from 1 species